GGGCAGGAUGGGUGAAGUAGGCCCACCCGCAAGCGGGUCGUCCUUCUUCACUGUCCCUUAUUCGCGCCGUGGGCACUCAACGGGAAUCCUGCCCUGCGGGGCU
rfam:Bordetella trematum strain H044680328 genome assembly, chromosome: 1